rnacentral:rRNA from 1 species
UGCGUAGGCGGGCUAAUAAGUCAGGGGUGAAAUCCCACAGCUUAACUGUGGAACUGCCUUUGAUACUGUUAGUCUUGAGUUAUAUGGAAGUAGAUAGAAUGUGUAGUGUAGCGGUGAAAUGCAUAGAUAUUACACAGAAUACCGAUUGCGAAGGCAGUCUACUACGUAUAUACUGACGCUAAUGGACGAAAGCGUGGGGAGCGAACAGGAUUAGAUACCCUGGUAGUCC